rnacentral:ncRNA from 2 species
CUCAUACGUUUACCGUCAGGUCCCGAAGCGGCGUCUCCCAGCGGAGCCGAAGCCCAGGGUGAAAAGGGAAGCCGGUGCAAAUCCGGCACGGUCCCGCCACUGUAAUACGGAGAUCGUCUUACGAUGCCACUGUCCGCGCGCGGAUGGGAAGGCAAGACGGUCAGUCAUCCGUAAGUCAGGAGACCUGCCUGCCGGUUUGCAGCACA